UGACGAGCGCGGAGGGAUACAGUUCCAACUCGUGCUCGUAGCUCACGAAGCCAUGCGGUGAAUCUGGGUUGUUGAGACUGUUGCGCGUCAUAUAAAUAAACCACGCCCACAUACAAACCCAGUCUGUAAACCAUGUUUUCGCCGAUUGAAGGCAGUUCUUUCCAACGUCUCUGGAUAGCAGCAGAGCAGCCACACCUGGCUCAGCACGCUACGGCGGACGACGGCCCACUGUUCGGCAAGCAGCGACUACCGAGCCCGGAAAGCCCUCCUAACCCGGACCGCUUUUCCUGGUGAGCGUAAACCAGCGCUUGUUGUUGUAACAUGAUACCUUCUACCUCUUCGGCUCCCAGCCCUCUUUCCUGCCCCACUUGUCAUAUGUUUAGUCAGGAUCCCGCCUCAUUUAAUGAGGACAAUGGUCGUUGUGUUAACUGUAGCCUGAUCUCAGACCUGUUAUCCAGGCUCGAACAGCUCGAACAGAGCUCAAUGGAAGCUAAACCAGCUAGCCAUGUUGUUGUCACUCGGAGCGCUAGCCGCGCUAGCAAAGCUGACUUAGCUAGCAUCCCACCGCCCUCUCAGCAGCCGAGGAAUCCCCAGGAUGAGUUUGUACCGGUGGGGAAAAAGCACAGAGCUAAACCUAAGCCCGCAGAGCGCCCGGAGCUCCCUGUACGGAACAGGUUUUCUCCCCUCAGUAACGCACCAACUGAACCGAAAACCCUGGUCAUCGGCUCCUCCGAGGUCAGACACGUAAAGCUAAAGGGAGCUACAGUUAGAUGUUACCCGGGAGCCAGAGUUGGUGACAUCGAAGGAAACCUCCGAAUGUUAGCCCAGAGUAAGGCGAGGUUCCGUCGGGUCGUAAUUCACGCAGGUGGCAACGACGCCCGACGAAGACAAUCAGAGAUUCUUAAACUAAACGUAGAAUCGGUGUGUAAACUGGCUAAAUCUGUGUCAGACACAGUAGUUUUCUCUGGUCCUCUCCCAAACGUGGUCAGUGAUGAAAUGUACAGCCGCUUUU